ACCCAUUUGGCAAUAUUGGAAAUGGAUAUCCCUGGGAAUUCUGUGGCUAAAACCUGCCGAAUCCCUUUGGAAGCAUAUAUUAACUUUGAAACCCAACAGCUUAAACCGGAAUGGUGAUCAUGGGAAUAUGUCCAUCGUUUUCCACCUGCCCAAAGGGCCUCCAACCUAUUAACUAUUUUGGUAAAAUAAGGGUUUACUGAGGCUUUGACGGGUAACGGGGAAUUAAGGUUUGAUUCCCGAAAAGGAACCCGAAAAACCGCUACCACAUCUUAGGAUGGCCGCCGGGGCCCAAAUUACCCCAUCCCGACCAAGGGAAGUAGUAACUUGACAUAACAGCCUUAGACCACCGUUUAACGAUUGCCAUGAACAGGGCUUAAAACACCCCGCCAGUAACAAUUGGAGGGCAAGUCUGGUGCCCGCCGCCCCGGUUAUUCCAGCUCCAAUAGCAAAUAUUAAAGUUGCUGCCGUUGAAGCGUUCGUAGUUGUAAUUCCGACCAUUGAAGCCAAACUUCCGUUUUUACCAAAUGGUUGGAAUCCUUGUGUAAGCAGUGGCUUCGGUUACUUUGAGGAAAAAGGAAAGCUUAGAUUAAGCGAAAGCUUGUUUUUUAAAGCAUGGAAUAAUUUAAUAAGACUUUGUGUGUUGGUUUCUUAGACAAGGAUAAUAGUUAAUAAGGGCGUACGGGGAUAUUUGUACUUUCUGGAGAGAGGUGAAAUUCUGAGACCCAGUAAAGACAAACUAACGCAUAAGCAUUUAUCCAGCACGUGCCUGUUAAUCAAGGACAAAAGUUGGGGUAUCGAAGACGAUUAGAUACCGUCGUAGUCCCAACCGUAAACUAUGCCGACCGAAGUUUGGCAAAGUUGAAUUUGUCAGAAUUCCUGGAGAAAUCUGAGUUUUUGGGCCCUGGGGGGAGUAUGGUCGCAAGGCUGAAACUUGAAGGAAUUGACGGAAGGGCACCACCAGGAGUGGAGCCUGCGGCUUAAUUUGAGUCAACACGGGGAAUUUUACCAGGCCCGGACAUAGUCAUGAUUGACAGGUGAAGAGAUCUUUCUCGAUUCUAUGGGUGGUGGUGCAUGGCCGUUCUUAGUCGGUGAGGUGACUUGUCUGGUUAAUUCCGAUAACGGACGAGACCUUGGCUGUCUCCUUUGAGUGUGUAGUUAUUCUACAGAACUGUAAGGAGAAGGACUCUGGAGGUUUUACUCCAGGUAAGAUCGAGGCUAUAACAGGUCUGUGAUGCCCUUAGAUGGCCUGGGCUGCACGUGUGCUACAAUGAUCCUAACAAUAUGAAUGGUGCCUCGAAAGCGGCGCAUAAUCAUUAAAAUUGUAUCGUGUUGGGGAUUGAGUUUUGUAAUUGUGGCUCAUGAACGAGGAAUUCCUAGUAAGCAUAGAUCAUAAUUCUAUGCUGAUUGCGUCCCUGCCCUUUGUACACACCGCCCGUCGCUUCAACCGAUUGGAUGAUCCGGCGAAUUGUGCAGACUUUCAUACAAGACGUGUCGAGUAAAAAGAAAGCAUCAUGAGCCUUGUCAUCUAGAGGAUGAAGAAGUCGUAACACGGUAUCCGUAGGUGAACCUGCA
rnacentral:rRNA from 1 species